AUAUUCAUAGUUUUUACGAAAUAAAAUAAUAUAAUUUUUUUGUCAAUUUUUGUUAACUAAACAAAGUAUUAUAUUUAUUAUCAUAUAAUGAAAAGGUGAGAAAUUAUAUCUGUCAAAAAUAAGAAGUCAGCCAAGGCAAUUAUAUGAAAGAAUUUUAAUCUUUAAAUGUUGAAAAAAUUAUUAAAUUCUUUUAAAAAAUUAAAUAUAUUUAUAAUUUAUAUAUUCUUAUUUUAUACUUUAAAUUAACUUUAAAUUAAUUCUUUACAUAAAAAGAAUUAUACUGAUUAUGUGAUUAUACGCGAAUAAGUGUAAUAAUUAAAUUAUUGAUUAAACAAUGGAAACAGAGGAAUAUGAUUUUAAAAAACAACAGUUAUUACAUACAAAUAAAGAUUGUAUGCAUAAAAAUCAAACUCAAAAUGAACAUAUAAAUAAUUUAUUUAAUAAACGUUUUACAAUUGUAAAUAAUGAAUGUUAUACAAUGCCUGAACCAACAACUAUGUUUAAAGAUUGUUUAUGGACAGUCGAUGAAUUACAAUUAAUAAAAAAUGAAUUAAAUGCCAUAAAGAAUUGUUUAAAUAAUUAUGAUCCUGAUAAAUGGCAAUUACAUACAAGAAUAAGAAACAGUGCAAAAGAUGUUAUGACUCGAUUGAAAACUUAUAUUCAACCAGAACUUUUAACUCAAGCAUGGUGUAAAUUUUAUGAAAUAGUAUCAUCGUUUCCUUUAAUACCAAUGAAUUAUAUUUGUAAUAAUAAUAAAUGUUUUAAAUCUGUUCAUUUAUGUGAAGCACCUGGAGCUUUCAUCACAUCUUUAAAUCAUUGGUUAAAAACAAAUGUUCCUAAUAUUAAAUGGGAUUGGCUUGCUAUGACCUUAAAUCCAUAUUAUGAAGGUAAUCCGGCAUCUAUAAUGGUUGAUGAUGACAGGUUCAUUAGACACACAUUAAAUCAUUGGUGUUUUGGAGAAGAUAAUACCGGAAAUCUUAUGAAUUUAAAAAAUUUGAAUGAACUUAUAAAAGUAGCACAGCCACAUUGUAAUAUAUUCUUGAUUACUGCAGAUGGUAGUAUAGACUGUACAGAUGUUCCAGCAGAACAAGAAAGUGUUUUAAUACAUUUACAUUUUUGUGAAACCAUAACUGCAUUACAAUUAUUAGCUACUGGAGGGAGUUUUUUAUUAAAAAUUUUUACUAUUUUUGAAUGUAAUACAAUAUGUCUGAUAUAUUUAUUAUCUUGUUGUUUUAGUAAUGUGAGUGUUAUAAAACCAGCAACAAGUAAAGAAGGAAAUUCAGAAACAUAUGUUGUAUGUACAAACUUUAAAGGACCAACAUUUAUCUCACCUUAUUUAGAAAAAUUAAAAGAGCAUUAUGAAUAUGGUCCUAAACAAGCAAUUUUUAGUAAGCAUGAUAUUCCAUAUGCAUUUAUGGAAAAAAUUAUACAAUGUAGUGAAUUUUUUAAAUCUCAUCAAUGUCUUGUUAUAGUAAACAAUAUUGUUACAUUUAACUCUGAUGAAUCUAAAAUGUUACAAAAUACAAAACAAAUUCAGUGUAUGGUAGCUGAUAAAUAUGUUAAAGAUUAUAAUGUAAAAAAAUUAGAAACAGGAGAAAUUGUAGGAAACAUAAUUAUAUUAGGAAGAACCAUUAAUACAAAUCAAUAUAAAAGAUCAUUACAAGGAUCAUAUAAUGAACGUUGUGAAAAACAACAAUUAGCACCUUUAGAUAGGAUAGAAAGUUUUUGUAAUGAUUUUAAUAAAAUUGAAAUUCAUGUAUCAUCUGAUGAAGUUGUAAAAUACAAAUUCUCUGAAUUCCCAGAAGAUUUGCAAAUUCGUUCAGGAAAAGUGUUUCACAAAAUAUAUAAUUCCAAAUUUUGUAAUAAAAAUGCUUUGAAGAUAUUAAAUGGUAUUGAUGACAUCCUUAAUAAAAUAAAUUUGAAAAUACAAUUUCCUUCGAUAGAGAGUAUAGAGAAUUUAAAAGCUAAAAUUCUUUGUAAACCAAAACAUGAAAUUUUAAUUUUUCGAUAUACAGAUAUUUAUGAUGGUCAUGAAAUAAUCACAGAAAUUUAUGAUACAUUACAAAAACUCGAAAUUGGAACAACAUUAGUUUUAAUUGGUUAUUCAUUGUUUACUCACCUUAGUAUUGAACUUCUUUAUCUUAUAAGCUGUGCUUUUAAUUUGUUAAAAAUUACAAUAUGCAAUCACGUAGGAUUGAAAAUCACAUUACAUCAUUAUAAUUACAAUCCUAAAAUAUUAAGAUUCUUAAAUGAAAUUAAAGCUGCUUCUUUUGAAGCUCAAAAACAAGGGAAAGCUAUUUUGGAAAUAAUUUCUCCAUCACUAUUUUAUAAAGGGUGUUAUUUAUGCUAUUCAGCAGACCUUAAUCAUUGGGUCAUAAAAACAUACAUUCAUUAUGUAUUACAUAUGAUGAAACAAAGUAUAAAUUAAAAGAUGAUCCAAAAUAAACCAAAGUUGUACCAAAUUUUUGAUAUAAUAAAAUAUAAAUGCAUAUUUGUCAAUGAUUAAUACAAAUCUCUACUAUGAAAUUUAAUAAAAUGUACAAAUAUGUUCGUUUAUUUUCAACUGAACAUAUUGUACCAAGAAUAUGUAUUAUUGGAGCAGGACCAGCAGGAUUUUAUACUGCGCAACAAUUAUUAAAGACAAUUAAUAAUGUAAGAGUGGAUUUAUUGGAAAAAUUACCAGUACCGUAUGGUUUAGUACGUUUUGGUGUAGCUCCAGAUCAUCCAGAAGUGAAGAAUGUUAUUCAUACAUUUGAAAAAACUGCAUCUAAUCCACGUUUUCGGUUUAUAGGGAAUGUUAAUAUA
rnacentral:misc_RNA from 1 species